GUCGCGGUGGGGCGAGAGCUGGGCCUGGAGACUCCCCUGGGAGGCAACAGCGGGGUCUGCAGACGCCCUUCUCCAGCCGGAGCUGGGACUGUUCAGUGACUGGGAGAAGGGAUGUGGGUCUGAAGAGCUUGGUUGCAGAAACUUCGGGGUCUACAAACGCAGGCGGGAGCUGAGCCAAAAGAGCUUGUUUGCUGGGAGGUGGGAGAUGCAGCCAGGAGGAACAGCUGGGCAAUGCGGGAGGCAGAGGCCAGGCCUCCUCAAGUUGGCCUCUCAGACCCACUUGCAGCCUCCCGGCGCCCCCUCCGGGCCCAGCUCUUCCUCCCGGCUGCAUCUCCAGGCCGGACUCUGGCCCGACUCCAGGUCCCAACAACGUCUUUGGACUCAGCUCCUGCCCAGCUCCCAGCGGCCCUGGUAGGCCCACAACUUCCCUAAGCCAAGCUCCCCAGGCCCAGCUCAGGCCUCGUGGUGGCCUCUCCAGGCUCAGCUCCUGGCCCUCCGAUGACAUCUGCAGGCCCCAAAUGGCCUCCGGUCGGUGGGCUCCUCUAGGCCCAGCUUGGGCCUCCCGGCGGCCUUCGCAGGCCCAAAUCAUCCCGAAGUCAGUCUCUCCAGGCUUAGCUCCAGCCUCCCGGCGGCCUCUGCAGGCCCAAGUCGUCCUCAAGUCGGCCUGGAAGUGGGCCUGGAAGAGCAGCAAGUCGGCCUCCCUGGGCCCAGCUCUGUCCUCUCGACGGCCUCUCCAGGUGCAAAACUUCCUCGAGUCAGCCUCUCCAGGCCCAGCUCCUCCUGCCUCCCAGUGGCCUCUUUCGGCCCAGC
rnacentral:lncRNA from 1 species